GUGCUUGCUUCGGCAGUACAUAUACUAAAAUUGGAACAAUACAGAGAUUAGCAUGGCUCCUACACAAGGAUGACACACUCAUGAAGCAUUCCAUAAAAAAUAUGU